AGAGUUUGAUCCUGGCUCAGAACGAACGCUGGCGGCGUGCUUAACACAUGCAAGUCGAACGUGAUCCAGAGCUUGCUCUGGUGAAAGUGGCGCACGGGUGAGUAACGCGUGGAUAACCUGCCCUGGUAUCUGGGAUAACAUCCCGAAAGGGGUGCUAAUACCGGAUAAGCCUACGGGGUCCUCGGACUCUGCAGGAAAAGGUGGCCUCUAUUUAUAAGCUACCGUAUCAGGAUGGGUCCGCGUACCAUUAGCUAGUUGGUGGGGUAAUGGCCCACCAAGGCGACGAUGGUUAGCUGGUCUGAGAGGAUGAUCAGCCACACUGGAACUGAGACACGGUCCAGACUCCUACGGGAGGCAGCAGUGGGGAAUUUUGCGCAAUGGGGGAAACCCUGACGCAGCAACGCCGCGUGAGUGAUGAAGGCUUUCGGGUCGUAAAGCUCUGUCAGAGGGGAAGAAAUGAGCCUGGCUAAUAUCCAGGUUUCUUGACGGUACCCUCAAAGGAAGCACCGGCUAACUCCGUGCCAGCCGCCGCGGUAAUUC
rnacentral:rRNA from 1 species